rnacentral:rRNA from 1 species
GCAAGUCGAACGAGAAAGCUCCUUCGGGGGUGAGUAGAGUGGCGCACGGGUGAGUAACACGUAGGUGAUCUACCUCUUAGAGUGGGAUAACCCCGAGAAAUUGGGGCUAAUACCACGUACGUUUAACAAAUUUGGAAAUAGUUAAAGAAAGGAUGCCUCUUUACAAUGCAUUCGCUGAGAGAUGAGCCUGCGGGACAUUAGUUUGAUGGUGGGGUAAUGGCCUACCAUGACGUCGAUGUCUAGCGGAUCUGAGAGGAUGAUC